UACGGGAGGCAGCAGUGGGGAAUAUUGCACAAUGGGCGAAAGCCUGAUGCAGCUAUGCCGCGUGUAUGAAGAAGGCCUUAGGGUUGUAAAGUACUUUCAUCGGGGAGGAAAAACAAAACUAAUAAUUUUAUUUCUUGACGUUACCCGAAAAAGAAGCACAGGCUAACUCCGUGCCAGCAGCCGCGGUAAUACGGAGGGUGCUAGCGUUAAUCAGAAUUACUGGGCGUAAAGAGCACGUAGGUUGGUUUUUUAAGUCAGAUGUGAAAUCCCUGGGCUUAACCUAGGAACUGCAUUUUGAAACUGAAAUACUAGAGUAUCGUAGAGGGAGGUAGAAUUCUAGGUGUAGCGGUGAAAUGCGUAGAUAUCUGGAGGAAUACCUGUGGCGAAAGCGGGCCUCCUAAACGAAUACUGACACUGAGGUGCGAAAGCGUGGGGAGCAAACAGGGAUUAGAUACC
rnacentral:rRNA from 1 species